rnacentral:rRNA from 1 species
AGUGCAUGUGGUGGAUGCCUUGGCAGUCAGAGGCGAUGAAAGACGUGAUAGCCUGCGAAAAGCUCCGGGGAGGCGGCAAAUAUCCUUUGAUCCGGAGAUGUCUGAAUGGGGGAACCCACCUACUUUAAGGUAGGUAUUGCAACAUGAAUACAUAGUGUUGCAAGGCGAACGAGGGGAAGUGAAACAUCUCAGUACCCUUAGGAAAAGAAAUCAAUUGAGAUUCCCUCAGUAGCGGCGAGCGAACGGGGAUCAGCCCAUUAAGUUAUGUGUGUUUUAGUGGAACGCUCUGGGAAGUGCGAACGUAGAGGGUGAUAUUCCCGUACACGAAAGGGCACACAUAAUGAUGACGAGUAGGGCGAGGCACGUGAAACCUUGUCUGAAUAUGGGGGGACCAUCCUCCAAGGCUAAAUACUCCUGACUGACCGAUAGUGAACCAGUACCGUGAGGGAAAGGCGAAAAGAACCCCUGUGAGGGGAGUGAAAUAGAUCCUGAAACCGCAUGCAUACAAGCAGUGGGAGCACCUUCGUGGUGUGACUGCGUACCUUUUGUAUAAUGGGUCAGCGACUUAUAUUCAGUAGCAAGGUUAACCGUAUAGGGGAGCCGUAGAGAAAUCGAGUCUUAAUAGGGCGUUUAGUUGCUGGGUAUAGACCCGAAACCAGGCGAUCUAUCCAUGAGCAGGUUGAAGGUUGGGUAACACUAACUGGAGGACCGAACCCACUGUCGUUGAAAAGCCAGGGGAUGACUUGUGGAUAGGGGUGAAAGGCUAAUCAAGCCUGGUGAUAGCUGGUUCUCCCCGAAAGCUAUUUAGGUAGCGCCUCGGACGAAUACCAUAGGGGGUAGAGCACUGUUUCGGCUAGGGGGUCAUCCCGACUUACCAAACCGAUGCAAACUCCGAAUACCUAUGAGUACUAUCCGGGAGACAGACUGCGGGUGCUAACGUCCGUAGUCAAGAGGAAAACAAUCCAGACCGCCAGCUAAGGCCCCAAAAUCAUAGUUAAGUGGGAAACGAUGUGGGAAGGCAUAGACAGCUAGGAGGUUGGCUUAGAAGCAGCCACCCUUUAAAGAAAGCGUAAUAGCUCACUAGUCGAGUCGGCCUGCGCGGAAGAUGUAACGGGGCUAAAACUAUGUGCCGAAGCUGCGGAUUUGACAUUAGUCAAGUGGUAGGGGAGCGUUCUGUAAGCCGAUGAAGGUGUAUUGAGAAGUNGCUCACUAGUCGAGUCGGCCUGCGCGGAAGAUGUAACGGGGCUAAAACUAUGUGCCGAAGCUGCGGAUGUAUACUUUGUAUACGUGGUAGGGGAGCGUUCUGUAAGCCGAUGAAGGUGUGUUGAGAAGCAUGCUGGAGGUAUCAGAAGUGCGAAUGCUGACGUGAGUAACGACAAAACGGGUGAAAAACCCGUUCGCCGAAAGACCAAGGGUUCCAGUCCAACGUUAAUCGGGGCUGGGUGAGUCGACCCCUAAGGCGAGGCCGAAAGGCGUAGUCGAUGGGAAAAUGGUUAAUAUUCCAUUACUUCUGUGUAAUGCGAUGAGAGGACGGAGAAGGCUAAAUCAGCCUGGCGUUGGUUGUCCAGGUGAAAGGAUGUAGGCAUGUAUCUUAGGCAAAUCCGGGGUACUCUAUGCUGAGAUCUGAUAGCAAGCUGUACUUGUACAGCGAAGUGGUUGAUGCCAUGCUUCCAGGAAAAGUCUCUAAGCUUCAGUUACACAGGAAUCGUACCCGAAACCGACACAGGUGGUCAGGUCGAGUAGACCAAGGCGCUUGAGAGAACUCUGCUGAAGGAACUAGGCAAAAUGGUACCGUAACUUCGGGAGAAGGUACGCUGUUGUUGGUGAUGGAACUCGCUUCCUGAGCUGACGACAGCCGCAGAAACCAGGCCGCUGCAACUGUUUAUUAAAAACAUAGCACUCUGCAAACACGAAAGUGGACGUAUAGGGUGUGAUGCCUGCCCGGUGCUGGAAGGUUAAUUGAUGGGGUUAGCGUAAGCGAAGCUCUUGAUCGAAGCCCCAGUAAACGGCGGCCGUAACUAUAACGGUCCUAAGGUAGCGAAAUUCCUUGUCGGGUAAGUUCCGACCUGCACGAAUGGCAUAAUGAUGGCGGCGCUGUCUCCAGCAGAGGCUCAGUGAAAUCGAAAUCGCUGUGAAGAUGCAGUGUACCCGCGGCUAGACGGAAAGACCCCGUGAACCUUUACUGCAGCUUGACACUGAACUUUGACCUUACUUGUGUAGGAUAGGUGGGAGGCUUUGAAGCUGGAACGCUAGUUCCAGUGGAGCCGUCCUUGAAAUACCACCCUGGUAAUGUUGAGGUUCUAACUCUGUCCCGUGAUCCGGGACGAGGACCGUGUCUGGUGGGUAGUUUGACUGGGGCGGUCUCCUCCUAAAGAGUAACGGAGGAGUACGAAGGUGCGCUCAGCGUGGUCGGAAAUCACGCGUAGAGUAUAAAGGCAAAAGCGCGCUUAACUGCGAGACCCACAAGUCGAGCAGGUACGAAAGUAGGUCUUAGUGAUCCGGUGGUUCUGUAUGGAAGGGCCAUCGCUCAACGGAUAAAAGGUACUCUGGGGAUAACAGGCUGAUACCGCCCAAGAGUUCAUAUCGACGGCGGUGUUUGGCACCUCGAUGUCGGCUCAUCUCAUCCUGGGGCUGAAGCAGGUCCCAAGGGUAUGGCUGUUCGCCAUUUAAAGAGGUACGCGAGCUGGGUUUAGAACGUCGUGAGACAGUUCGGUCCCUAUCUACCGUGGGCGCUGGAAAUUUGAGAGGAUCUGCUCCUAGUACGAGAGGACCAGAGUGGACGAACCUCUGGUGUACCGGUUGUGACGCCAGUCGCAUCGCCGGGUAGCUAUGUUCGGAAGGGAUAACCGCUGAAAGCAUCUAAGCGGGAAGCCUACCUCAAGAUAAGAUUUCCCUAGGACUUUAUGUCCUCUAAAGAGCCGUUCGAGACUAGGACGUUGAUAGGUUGGAUGUGGAAGCAUAGUGAUAUGUGAAGCUGACCAAUACUAAUUGCUCGUGAGGCUUGACU